rnacentral:sRNA from 1 species
AUAGAUAUGGUUCUGAGGCUGUCACUCAGGUUCUCAGGAGCAAAUGUGACUGUGACUCAGGAGAGUGGAUAUAUACUAUUCUUGCCAGCACAGUGAGGUCCUGUGUCCCUCUCCAUGCCAGAAUCACAAGUCUCAAAUCCAAGGACUGGAAUUCAAACUACAAACACAAAGCUUGUCUUAUCAAACAACCUGCAACGUCUCCGACACAUCCUUCAACAUAGACUACAUCCUCACCAUGCUGUGAAGUCCUUUCAGCUACAGUAUAACUACCAGUUGUCCAUCACCUCCUAACUUCUACAGGUGUCUGAAAAUGCCAAAGGAGGGUGUCAGAUCCCUGGAGUUGGAAUCACCUGAGGUUGGAGCUGCCUAACGUGAGAAUUCUUUGUCAGCUUUGGAACCAACCUGAUUGGGGUGAUGAGAAAUAGAGGAAUUACAGACACAUGUAUAGAAAACUGAGACUGGGUAGGCAGUGCACUGUGAUGGAGAUGUGAUAAUAAGA